rnacentral:lncRNA from 1 species
UCUUUGCAUUUGGGUGUCGCAGCGGGACGUGAUGAGCCAGGGUGCCCGCAUUCUGUGACCUGUAGCGGCAUGCCAGGAGCCUUGGCAUGGACCUGGUCGUGGCAACGGCGGCAGGGCACAGCGCGUCCAAUGCCGCGGUCGCCGACGUCGAUCGACGUCGCCCGCCCGCACCGCCUGGCCAGCGCGGCUGCCGGGGCUCGGCGCGAGCUUCAAGCAGCGGAACGCGCCUAACAUUAUAUUAAAAUAUCAAGAUACUUUUUCUAUUAUUUCCGUUAACUAGUGCAUUAGUCAUGGUUACAAACAUCUGAGUGCUUAGUGCGAGUUUUCGUGAAUUUUUUUACGGACUCACAUGAGAGCGCGUAUACUAAGAUUUGUAUGGAACAAAAACAGCUCCACCUAGUGUCAAAAAUUGGAACCUGUUUUUGUUCCAUACAAACAGUGUUGCCAACAGUUGUAGAAGCUUACCACCAGAGUCAACUUUUAAAACCACCAGAAAACCACUAACAAAAAUUUAUCCCACACUUAAAAUCACCAAAUUCACCACUAAAAAAAUAUUGUUUAUAUUUUAUUGUAACCUAAAACAAUUUAAUCAUCCAAAGAUGUAACUCGGCAACGAUAGAAAAUUAAAACAGACAAAGCAUUACAUCUGUUUAGCAAUUCAUCCGACCCGAUCCGAAUCCUUCACAAAUUAUAAUCGGCGUAGUAGUUUCACAAAUUGUUUAGUUACGCAUUUGACCAAUGAAUGAGUACUUAAUAAAAUUAUAUAGUAGUCGUUCACCUUUUUGUUUUGUAGAUGCUUUUUUGACAUUCCGUGAGACUUGAAAUCUCCAUAGUAACUCCUUAAAGUUGUACCACAAAACUUACAUUUCGCUACUUGACCCGCAGUACUUUCAACAUUUCGCCACUAAAUAGGGGACUUAAACCACCAGUAUUAGUGGAAAAUCCACUAAGUUGGCAACACUGCAUACAAAUCUUAGUAUACGCGCUCUCAUGUGAGUCCGUAAAAAAAUUCACGAAAACUCGCACUAAGCACUCUGUACACAAUUUCUUCCGCUCCUGUGAUUGAUUCAAGACACGUCACAAAAUUAACACUUUUCCGUUGCGAAGCAAAUAUCAACGUGGAAGUUUUAUUACCUAUAUACCGUAUGUAAAUAGACAUAAGUUAGAAUUAAGCAGUUUCCUUUAAGUAGUCAGCAAGACAGUUUAGUAGUUAAGUUUUGUUUCUUUUUUAUUCAGAGUGUUAUUUUCAGAACGAAUUAGAUUUAAGUUUCAAAUGUAUUGUCACAGCUAGAAACACGACAUAUCCAACAAUUAAUUUAGUAGUAAAUUAUGUCAUGUUCCUUUAUUCCCAGAUUUAAGUUUCAAAGUUGAAAUCAGACACAGAAAAACGACAUAUCCAACAGGUAAUUUAGAAGUAAGUUAUGUAUGUACAACGUUCCUUUUUUGUUUAUGUUUCAAAAUGCAUCACAUUUUUGUUUUAAAAUUAAUCACCUUUCGAAAAACUUUGUCAAUGGAAUAAAUAAAUGGCUAGGACGUGUGUUGUUACCAAAAAUUAACAUGAUUGUGACAAGGGAUUGAUUUUCGUGUCGCUGGUAUUGGAUACAAUUUUACUAAAACUCUGAUUUCAAUAAAUAGAGAGAGGAUUGUCAAGUUGCAGAUUUCUAAAAACUGGUUAUGGAAUACUCACACAUGUUGUCAAUAAAAUUUAAAGUUGCAUGAA